GACGAACCGUGCGAACGUUGUUCGGAAUCACUGGGCUUAAAGGGCGCGUAGGCGGGCGGGCAAGUCGGAGGUGAAAGCCCCCAGCUCAACUGGGGAAGUGCCCUCGAUACUGCCGGCCUGGAGGGAGGUAGGGGCGUGCGGAACUUCCGGUGGAGCGGUGAAAUGCGUAGAUAUCAUCUGGAACGCCAAUGGUGAAAACAGGUAGCUGGGAGUGUGCUGACGCUGAGACACGAAAGCCAGGGGAGCGAACGGG
rnacentral:rRNA from 1 species